CUAGAAAUCUGUUCAUAGACAUCGCAUGUUUUAAAUCGGUUAGACUUGCACACGAUGUAAAAACGUAAUCUAACAUCGUUUUACGAAAAUACCGAUUUAAAUGUAUAUCAUUAACAUCGGGUCUUAAAAUGACCGGUGUUAAAAGUUUUGUUUGAAAAUUUGCGGGAACCUAUUUUUGCAAAACGCGCUAAGUGUUUUAAGUGAAUUGAAGAAGCGGGUACUAAAUCUAAAAACUUUCACACUUAGAAAAAAAAAUUAAAGCCCGAUCCCAAAAGUUAGACAGAAAACCCUAAGCUCUCGCGCGGCCUCCAUCUCACUCGAACUCGCCUUCAUUCUGAACUCACCCCAAACUGGAUCUCCUCCCAAACCCGACCUCCAUCUCCUCCCUUCCCUCCUUCAUCUACGUCCUCAGCUUCUUCGGCAUCAACUCCGUCCACUCCGGCAUCGACUCCGUCCAGUCCGUCCUCAGCUUAUUCGUCGAAGCAUUUCUAAACAACGCCGUUCCGUCUUAGCCUCUGGAAUCGAAGCAAGAGAGCGGCGGCCAGUCGGCGCGACUCACUUCAGAGAACGACUCCGUUGUGGGAUUCGAAGGAUUUGCCUAUCGAAGGAUUCUAGGAGUCGCCGGUCGGAGACGAAGUAAUCUUAACUUCCCAUCGUUGGGGUGUAGAGUAGCAUAAUUUACAAGGUUUAUUGACUGCAUGCUUCCUUGUUCUGGAGAGCUCCUCGGUUCAAUUGGGCUACAACAAAAGCAGCCUUCAUGAGAGUUGAAGAAGCGCAAGUUUGUGGGUGGCUUCAAGAACGGUGAAUUUGUGGAUAACGUGAAGUCCAGCUUGGAUACCAAGUUGGUUGGAAGGAGCAGCAGGUUACGAGCGGGUCUUCAAGGCAAAACUAGUGUUGAGUAGUGAAAUCCAACUGUUCAGGUGCUUGCAUGAACUUCUUACGGAAAGAGAUGCAUUGGACACCUUUGCUUUUGUUGAUCCGGCAGCCACAUAUAAUUGUGAAAGACCGGACUUCGUACGGUACUUAGUUGAUCGAUUAAAAGAGGGAAAAUCUGAUCGUAUAUUCUUCAUGCCUUACAAUCCGGGAAAGCAUUGGAUAUUAACUAUCAUAUGGGAGGGUGAAAUCUACAUCUUAGAUCCGUUGCCAAAACCAGUCCAUUAUCAAGUAUGAGAGACUUCAGUGAUCAAUGCGAUGAAAACCUUCAAUGCUGAAACUGGUAGGGUUAACAAACUGCCUAAAGUGAAAUCGCUUCCGGGCGUACCUAAACAACCAGGUGGAGUUGAGUGUGGCUAUUAUGUUAUGCGAUACAUGAAAGACAUAAUAGAGGAUGAGACACUUUCAUUUCCUACCAAGUGGGCGGUAAAGACGCGGAAGUCAUAUAGCCAAAAUCAAAUUGACGAGGUGCGCAUUGAAGUGGCUGAUUAUAUACAGAGUUUGAUGUAGGACUGUGACUGCCAAUAUGUUUUUUGAGUAAGGCUAGCUAGUUUUGGCUUUGAAGCAAAGCUUGGUGUGGAACUUUUGUACAUUGUUGCUCAUAUUUUUCCAAGCUUUGUUUUGUAAGUUUAGGGAUUUAUUUUGGCCCAUUAUGUUGAAUCAUGAAUUUGGAAAGAACAUUAAUGGAAAGCCCCUAAUUUUGGAUGAUGAGAAA